rnacentral:misc_RNA from 1 species
GCAUGCCACCGCCGUACCUGAUCUGUCUCCGACUAACCCUGUAUCUAUGAUAGCCACUACAUACGACCCGAUCUGACUGUCUGAGACAUGUGAGACAUGGAUAAGAGGAUGGAGCGGAGAGGAAGCAGGGGAGAAAGGGGAAGGGAAUGAGCCGGGCGACUGUGAUUGGACGAGAGCCGGAAAACAAGCCAUACGACAUCCGAUGGCCUCCACAAGGACCAUACCAUGGUGAGUGUUUGUGCACCUUAACCAUGGUACGUCCUCCACGUUGAGCUGAGACAUUUCUUCCGAGACAUUGCAGUUGCUCCAAGAAUACGGUACGAGUAAGGACCGUGUAUUAGCGGGGGACGUGUGGAUUUUUUUCUUUUCUUUCUCUUUCCCCUUUCCUCCCUCUCUUCUUAUUCUUCCCCUUCUCCUUCGUUUUCUUCUUUCUUUCGUCUUCGUCUUCGUCUUCGUCUUCGACUUCGUCUUCGUUCUCCGCUUCUCCUCUUCUCCACGUGACUUGCUUUUAUGUCUGGUCUUGUCUGUGGGUCUGUAUCAGAGGUCUCUUCAGCGAUGUCUCUGUCUUUUUGCACCUCUUGGCAGCAACGUUACUUUCGACGAUCGGACCGAAAAGCAGUUCAAGCUCCACUCAGCUAUAACUCUGUGUUAUGAUUCGCAAGAUUACGGCUUCUAGAAGAAAGACACCGAAGAGGUGUCUGAUCCCGGCCGGAGAGGAGGUGCAGAUGGUGAGGGGGUUGGCGACAGAGAUGGGAUCCCGUUAUCAACAAUUUGGCACGAGACAGGAGCUAUUGGUGGUAUGAAUCAGCACGUUAUGCUACUAUUCGUUAAAGUAGCCCCCUAACAGCAGCCAAUGACAGAGUUACAGUACAAGAGAUGAACCAGAAAAGGUUUAGCUGUGAACAAGGUGAGUGGUGGUGGAGGAGUUGGUUUGGCGGUGGUUUGGCGGUGGUUUGGUUUUGGGGUUUGAUGGAUUGGUUGCUUGGUGGAUUCUUUUGGUGGAUGACUGCUUGGUGGAUUGGUUUGGUGGUUGGUGGUUUGGUGGUUGGUGGUUUGGUGGUUGGUGGUUUGGUGGUUGGUGGUUUGGUGGUUGGUGGUUUGGCGGUUUGGUUUUGAUGGUUUCGUACUUUCAGCCAAACACUUGAGCACCAUUUGACGCUGCGCCUUGGCCUUCUACGAUGAUCUGGAGACUAAUCCAGUUAUUCAGUUCGUGCUGCAAAAAGAAAGCAUGGAACAUCUGUCAAUCUUGGUAGAUCAUCGGAGAAUUAGGUGGAAGGAGAUGCCAAGACAGAGAAUGAGAGAGUGAGUACGUACGAGAAGAAGCAAAUCUGGGACUGAGAAACGUUAGCCGGGGACCGAGGAUGUGCCAGAGCAUUGGGGAACGAGUGUUGGGGACCAAGAUGAUGCAGUCUUCCCUUCGUCAUGCCCACUAAGCUCGCUGCGCUCAUCUGUGCCUUGGUUGAGUUUGGUGGUCUCCAGACUUCGACACUGUUUUGAACGACAGACAAAGAAUCUGUGCCGUAGAUCCAGUCAUGUGUUGUUUUUAAACACAGCAGGUAGUGGCGAGCCUAGAAGGUGAUUCUGGAGGAGAUACAAGGGAUAGAGCAACUUCGCAAGUCGAAGAUUUAUGGAAAAAGGAAUUCUUCGAAUUGUGAGAGAGUCUGGUUGACUCGGACGUGGCUCAGCCUGACAUGCGUUAUCCAUGUGCUCAGCUGUCAGAACUGCCCGCCAGGAGUCCGUGUUGUUGGUCGAUAUGGUGAGACGGCGAGAUGCUGAAACAUGGGCUCACCGUCUCAGGGUGCUUUUGCGGGAUUAUCGGUGACAGAAGCAAUUCCAUGUACAGACAUGCGGAGUGAGCUGGUCUUGGUGGUCAGAGUUGGGGUUUUGCUACAGCAGCUUGCUCCGAGUCUCCAGCAACCCAUUAUUGGGCAUGGGGUCUAUGAGCUCUGAAGCAUUGUUUCGGGUGACUUCUACCACAUGACUCACCCAUCCUAUCUGUCUUGAGUCCAGAUCUCACUGGUUCAGCCAAUGCCCGGACUGGGCCAUGGCACGGAAGUUCAUACUGUGAGUUCAAUCCUUGCACUUGGAAAACGCUCCACUACACCAUAACAUUGUGUGCUUAUAGUCUCUGGUCUUAGCAUUUCCUCCACCUCCGUGAUUCCUACAAGUUCAAUACUGUGAUGAAGUUGCCGGGAUACCCUACACCAGCCAGUACAGCUUUACUCAACAGUUGGAACCCAGUCGAUUUAAAGGUGAUAAAAUGUCAUGUCUCACAGAUAGAACUGUGCUGCUGUCGAGAGAUAUGGCCACCACACCUAGGAGGUUGGAUCAUCGGAUACCCAGCUCGUUUCUGGCCAACACUUGCUUAUUAUGGUGUUGAUGGAGCUGCCAGUACAAGUCGGCGUUGGUGGUGUUUCAAACUGUGGGUGCAGAGAAGCGCAAACGCGGUUCUUCAUUGAGUUGAUCUAGAUGGAUAUGUUCCCCGUGGCAGAAUCAGACUUGUGGCUUUCCUCAAAAGUUUUGGUGGAAUCAAACCAAACUCCGAACGGACAUUAUCGAAGAGAGUGAGAAUUUCAUUGUCAGUCUCACUAAGACAAGCUCCAGUAACCUCUUGUGGGCAAAAAGAACUCGACACGGUGGGCUACAAAAGAGCCUGACCUCGGAUUGCAAGUAAAAGGCACAUUGAGGGCUGCUCAAGGAACAGUCAACUAACCAUGAGUUUCGUGUUUCGUCAUGUUAAGUAGCGUACUGUAGCAAGGAGAUGUCAAUCGAUCGGAGAGAGAGUUCAAGUACAAGGCGAUAGUAUCGUACACUUGUAACUAGUCAUUGGAAGAGCUCUUUAUACAAUAUGGAGGCGGAGGGAGGCCACACCAUUUGUGAAUACAUGUUUGAGCACAGCUGAAUUGUGGAUUCAUCUGGCGGGGAACGGCUGUUUGUAGUCUGGUGUCCAGUGGGGCGACCAGUGACUGAUAAGGGAUCCAGCUGAUCCUCACUUGCCGGAUGAAUACAGUAUUAACAAGAGGGGUCAUAAGAAUGGCUGCAAACAUCCACAUCUUGAAGAAGGAAGACACGAGUUUGAGAGCUUCCUUGUCCACAUAGAGACGUAGACCGACAAAAAUGACUGCUGUAGCCAUCAGUUUGACAACGAGAGACACAUCUGAAAGGGUCGGGGUUUCUUGUGAAGCUGAGGCGACCCAAAGGUGCUUGUGGAACACGGAACUCAUGGCAAUCUGUCCCAGCAUACACUGCCAAAGAGCGACACUGAGUCGACUUGAUUAUUGUACCUUUUUAACCCGAAUCAGGUCACGUGGGCAAUUCUAGAAGCACGAUUAGGAGGAGCGUUUUGGUGGUUAUAGUGAGCAGUAGAAAUUCAGGUCUACAAACUGGA